ensembl:lincRNA Gm26522 predicted gene, 26522
GGAAAUGCCAACUAAGUAUUUCUUAGUGUGUCAAUAAAAGAUAGUGGAAAAAGAAAACCAAACAAUUAAUUAUGGCCCAUCUCAGGGUUCAUAAUAUAAACUAAGUAUCUUUUUUUUUUGCCCAUGAUUGUCAAGUUUACAAAUUUGAUCUGAAGGCAAAAAAAGGAACAUGGCUGUACAAGAGGUCUAAAAACCCUCACCCAGAACAUGAGCUGAACACAGACAACAACAAUGAAUGUCUUGGAGUGGUGUAGGGAAAGGCUCUGAGGCUUCAACUCUAUACAAAUAAUUGCAAGCAACUAAGGAAUUCUGAGACAGGGAGAAAGUCUUCCUCAGUGAAGAGCACACCAAUUGGUUAUCCAAAACCAAAUGGUCAGGCCUCAAACCAUACACAUACAGACUGAGGAAAUUAUACACAUACUUAUGAACAUGUGUGUGUGUGUAUAUAUAUUAAGAAAUAAAAAUUAGAGGCCAUGACUUUGAAAAGGAGAAUGGAAGGGUAUAUAGGCAGGUUUGAGGGGAGAAAAGAGAAAGGGGGAAAUUGUGUAUCUCUAAAACAUACAAACAAACAAAAAACAACCAGGCCCAUUCAAAUACACACUGAGAACUAAAUUCAGAUUGAAUACAACUACCACAUCCAUCAUGUAACUGAAACUUGAGAUUCAGAUACUGUUGGGAUGGAUUUAGUACAGUGCUUAGAGUUGAUAGUAAAAAUAAUUAACAGCUGGGCAGUGGUGGCGCACACCUUUAAUCCCAGCCUCUUGUCCUUUCUAUCUUCAGACCUUCUCUCCAUGGGAACUUUCAAUCUCUUCCCCUUCUCCUCUGUCUCCCUUCCCAAGGCUGUUUCCCUGAUCUGUGAUCUUGCCUCCCCUGCCAAAAGCAGUUUCCAAAUAAACCUGAGAUAUAGAUAGAUAGAUAGAUAGAUAGAUAGAUAGAUAGAUAGAUAGACAGACAGAUAGGUAGAUAGGUCCCUGAUCUGGCUUGAAUUAGCUCAUUUUACCGUGAAGGAAUAACUUAUCAGAGACUUCAUAUGAUAAGGCGAUGCAAACCUUUUCUCUCCCUUCUGCCUCAUCUCCAUGCUCAAAUUUAGAAAAGAAACAAUUGUAGACACCGCCCAGGAUUAAGCUAAACCCAGUCACCUGGAAUUUAGUAAAUGACUCCUUGUUGGAGGCAGGGGAGGUGGGAUAUAUGACAGCAUUUAUUCUACUCACAAGAAAACUACAGUUCAGAGUUGAGUUUCUCUGUGCAACUCUAACUGACUGGGGAGACCAGAAGUGUCACUCUUCUUAUCUGUACUACUGUUUUCCUAUAUCCGAGGCACGUGGAAUGCCCCAGUCUUCAUUUACUACAUACUCACCGAGAGCCAAGUGUUAGGCAUUGCGUUUGCUUCUGUCAUAUCCAAACACUACUGGGUAAAAUGUGACAAAAGAGACAGGAAAAAGCUUUUGUAUAUCUCUCGAAAUUCCUUAAACAAGGCGUCCAGAAAUGUCAAGGAAAGUAGCAGAUAAAACAGGCCCAGUUUGAAGUGGUCUCUUCCCACUACCUCACAGGGAAAGAAGGAGCGCCCCCAUU